AGGAGGAACAACCACAGUGGCAGCGGCCGGCUCUGGAGCCCUGGAUUCAGCUUCCGCACUAACUACAGAGCUCUCCGUCUGCAGGGCCUGGAGGCUCCGGGGCGGG
rnacentral:pre_miRNA from 1 species